ACUACCUGUAUACCGGUAUUAGAGUAACCGGGGUUUCAGGGACCCCCCGGUGCAUCACUGGCAUUGCCUGUAUACUUACCUGGUAUUAUCUUGGGGUUCCAAGAACCCCAAAGGUAUACUAUCCGUAUACCGGUAUUAUGGCAUUCGGGGUUUCAGGGACCCCGAUGCAUCGCUGGCGCUGCCUGUAUACCGACCUAAAAUUAUCUUGGGGUGUCUGGGACCCCAUGAUCCACGAAAACAAAGGCGCUAAGUUAUCGUAGAGUUUCCACCGUUUCUGUAUAGAUGACUAUAAGAUCGAAUUUUAAAAAUACUUAAUUUAUGGCUUAUAAUUUAUGGCUCAAGAUACUUAAUUAAUAGAAUACAAUAGAAAUAUGAUUUAUAUCAAGACUUAAUAAAAACUUGAAUACUAAAUACCCCGUAGAUUUAAACUCAAUAUAUUAAUAGUAUCGGUAUCUGAACUCGCGUUGCAUCGAUAAAAUUUUAAUUGUAAUUAAGAAAUUAGGUCAUUAGUCAGAAACGAGUUACAUUAAAACAAGCUAGAAGGUCACAUGGCUUGAUCCAUUUCAGUCUUGCAACAUAAUCACGCACACGUUUCGAGACUGAACACAACACACGUUGCUUGAUAGUUUCACAGUGACGUAAGACGUGCCAUACGUUAGGUACGGAACACUGAUGAAAUACAGAUUAGGCUGAACAUUUUUGCUAACUUAUUUUCACCCAUUUGGCCUUGUAACCUAUCAUCCUAUAAUAAUGCGUGAAAUUUUACAAACCAUCGAGCAUGUGUAUAGAAAUUUACAUAUGUGUAAUAUAUCAAGUUUCGAUUAAGGUGGGCUUGGACCUUUUACCAUUCUAUGAUUCUAAAAUCCUAAGAUUCUAAAAUUUAAAAAUUCUAAAGUUCUAAAAUUCUGUAAGUCAAUUUUCUGUCCAAUAUUCAUCGUCGCUUCCUGAUUUCCAAACGGAUGGCCGUCCUAAUUCAACGACGAUCCUGAACACCCGUGAUCGAUUAAUUAAACGGCGAGAUAGCAUGGUGUCGCUCGAAGUCUCCUAAUUAAUCAAGCAGUCGGGCGAACAGCAGCUACACGAUCUUAUCGGUUAAAGUACUACCAUUGUACUAUAGGACAACGGUGAAGUCCAGUCAACUCUUUAGUGGAAACGAACCUGAUGGCCCACAGCUCGGUGUCGAGCAAAUAUUGAUCGAUGGAUCAUUGAUCGACCUGACACCUAGUUUCCCUUCAGUUUCGCCAGUGACUACAUAUACGGAAAAGACUCUCCUCGAAACUUUGAUCCUUCAAGAUAUUUGUAGAUCAUUCUAAUAAAAUAUUUGAACCAACUUUUUUAAAUGAGUUAUGUAAAGAAAUUUCUUUAAAAUUAUUUCCCAUUGAUUUUCCACAUUAAUUGUUCCCUCUGAAUUCCCAGGAGUAGGAUGAAAUAUGUUCCAUUUCAAGUUUUAAUUCGGACCAUUCAUCAAAGCUCGAAGGGACCUUCGCGAAAUUCGAUUACAUUAAACGUACGAGGAAAGCUGUUCUAAAUCAGCUUUUCUCCUCACUAAUUACUAUGAGGUCUCGCAAAUUGAAUUAGCACGUACGAGACACGCGAUUCGUGGUCUGCAGAUUUUCUGACACCCGAUAAUGCGAUCGGCAAUUAUAACGUGCAAACGUAAACUCGGUCAUGGUCGCUGAAUCCUAAUCGAAUUAUCUUCGUUCUGCCUGGAAAUCCGAUGCAUCGUUCUCCAGUCGACCUUACAUUUUUCCGACAAACUGACAUUGAAGAGUGAGCUGUCUCUUCCAUCGACUAUCGCUACCGUCUUUUGUGAAAUUCUCUUGGAAAACCGAUCGUUGUAUUGGAAAUAAAAUCAUCGAAUUUAAUUUAUUUAGAAGAAAUUUCAAUUUCCGACCUAAGGGUCCUCCAAGGUUCGAUGACCUGGGGCCGCAGAAAUCUUAAUCCAGUCCUGCUUGAUAUAUUGGAAAGCUUCGAAAUUCCGAAGAAUGGAAAGAAGAAGGCAUGGAACAGUGUGCUUCGCUUUGGAAAAUAGAAGACUACAAUGAAGAAGAUACGAAAUUGCAUGGUUAACGUAGUGAACUUCGAGGGCAGAAAUCCAAUUGAGAUGGAAUUGGUUUUAUGUAACACAACGAGGUGGAAACCGUAUAGACGAGGAUCACAAAAGAUGCAUAGUUAGCAUCUGAUCGGCGUUCUCCAGUUUCAAGGUUACAUGUACUUGUUACAUAAAAGUGUUUGCGACCUGAAGAAUUCUUCUGAUAGAUUAGCUUAGAUUUCUUCCACUUAAACAGAAAUGUAGAAAAUGAAAUGAGUUACCUCCCUAAUGCAAAGGGUAAAGUGUCAAAUCAUUUUUAUAAAUCAACGAUCGAAUACUUGCCCGCAAUACAUAUUUUUCAAUGAAACAACGCGACAAGAAAAUUACGAGCGGCGAAACUCGAAAAACAAAAACUAUGAAACCGGUGAAAUUGCUAACGAUAAGUUAAAACGAAUGAAAAAACACGUCGAUCAACAAGCAAAUCGAGCUUCGAGAUAAAUAUUUUUUAGCGGGUCUCACUGGAAAUUCCGCUGUUUUUCACCGACAGCCAACGCACUGUCGCGAAUAAAUAUCGAGCAGAAAAUAUUUCGACGAAUAUAUCACGGGCAAACGAUCGCGUCCUAACGAAAUAUCAUUUGCAGACGUGUAUCACGGUUCGAUCUCGCUUGAAUUAAUGCGAUACUGUCGCGAUAUCGUCGCGAACGUUUCAACCGGACGCGAAUAAAUUCCUCGAUGCGUUCUCCCCUCGCCGAUUUCGUUCGACUUCGAAUCGAGAAUAAUUCACGAUUCAACUGUUUCCGCAAAAAAUCGUCAUUUCCGUAACGAUGAAAAUAAGCAAAUCGAUGGUUGCUCGAAAAGAAAAUAAUUAUAUUCAGUUAUGUUCCCACGUAAGGAGCAUAAAAUGAUUCUUCGAGUUCGAAACAAAAAACGUUCUCCAUCAUUUUUAUUCAGCAGCUUUUUUAUUGUUUUAAUUAUAAAGAAGUAACAAAGAAUAAUAAUUUCAUGAUAUUACCAUACUUUCUCUCUCUGUCGUUCGCGCGCGCACACUCUCCCUUACACGCUCUCUCUGUCUCUAUGUAUUUAUAUCAAUAUUAUUUAAUAGAUAUACUCAUUCACGUAUUGAAUAUCGUGGCAAAUAUAUAGAUAAAGGUUUCAUCUAACGUUCACACGUCGUGGAUAGCGACAGUGCAACAGAGACGCGCCUCUUUCUCCCCCUAUCAUUCUAUCCGUCAACAACCCCACGAUCCCGCGUACCUCCAUUUAUAUGGCUCGAUCAUCAAGAUUCCUCCGAAACGUAUCGGAUAAUAUUCUCCCGUCGUUUUCUUCGCCUCGCCGUUUCUCUUUCCCUCUCGUAUAUUCUUCCAACCGAAAAUGAGAAAAGAAACAGCCAUCGUCGAGAUGGGAGAGAGAGCCGGAGAGGUAAGAAAUCGGAGAUUCGUCGAGUUCGUGGGAGUUGAAUCGGAAGUAGCGCGCUGAUCGAGGCGCAGCACGGAAGUGUCAGUUUCGGUCGAGAUUACGUCCCGACGAUCGUCGACACUUCGAACGGACUUAAUCACUCGAUAUCGUCGCGGCUAACCACACAUCGAUUCGCGAAGACGAGUCGCCAAGUCUCGUGGGAAACCGGAAGUCUGCCGGUGGUACACCGUUCGAUCGACAGCUACCGACAGUAUGUCUAGUUCUUACGAUGGAUCGUUUCGCUCCUACCUACACGUUGCGAGAAUUUCGUCGAUUUCUAAGAAAGAAAUUUCCAACGAAGUUUCGGCAACGAACAAACGCGAGAGUUUCUUUUGAUUAUUUUCUUUUAUAUUUCUUCCACUUCUCGAACGCUUUAAAUGCAAAUUGAGUUUCUUGCUUGUUUCCUCGGAGGACAGUGCGAAGCUAAGACUAAAUCCGUAUAAAAUUUCUAUAAUGUUACAGUUCGUACAAACGUUUGGAUCGUAGUCUAGAUCGCUAAGUGUAUAUCUGUACUAUCAACGAAACCAUUAAUGUACGCAAGAAGUGGAGAAAAAAAAAAAAAAAUUGCUAUCUCUCGCGAUGAAAACCGAUCGAGGUUCGAAGAUCCGUUCACGAGGCUUCGAUCGAUCGUUUCCGUGGCUUCCGGUCGUGAUCUCUCGCUUUCUUAAGAUUAAUUUUCCCACUUACGAACGAAACACUCUUUCAACAUAGAACGAUUACCUAGAAACGUAUUUUUAAAUUUUCUCGUCGACAUUCAAGAUACAUUUCGUCUACUUCCGGUAAGAAUUCUUUCUCGUUUAGCUUAAAUCUAUAAAGUGAUACACACAACUCGAAGAUCGAUUCGAAGCUCGUGAACGAUCGAAGUGUCAUCGUUCCAUUCGUCUCUGGCCGUACCUUGGCUUCCUGUUCCGGUAUCCGGCGAGGAUCGCACGCGUUCGCUCGCUCAACUAAUAAAAACUCGACAACAUUGAACUAUAUCGAGAAUUAUCGCCUAGACUACAAAAUUCCAACAACUAAUUGGGCGCCUUCUAUCGAAGAAACUAAUGUGUACUAAUACCAGGCGCCCUCCCCUUGACCUCACCGAUACCAUCUUGGAUCUCCUUCCCUUAAUCAUCGCUCGCGAUCUUACAAUUUACGGGCAGGAUUUCCAUGAAUUGAUUAUCUAAUUUCUCAAUUAUUUUUCUUUUCGCAAAGUGAGCCAAAAAAUUAAUUAUUUCUGACUUGUUUGGAAAAAAAUAAGGAGGACCCAUAGGAAAAUAUGUAGGUGCGGAUUCUCCUAUUUUGUGUUAAAUAAAUGAUAUUAAAAUAAUGAGGAAAUCCGAUGGAAACGUUGACGCCUGCCCAAAGUCGCUAGAGACCGAAUUGAUUAAUUGAAGUUGCAACGACGGGAGGGAGAUCCAUGCGGCGAGAUUGAUCGGCACCACCCUCGUCCACCGUACUUGCAUGAGAAAACUAUAUGUAAUAAGAAAGAACACCAUCGCGAGAAACGAAAAGUUUCCUCCCUUACCGCACACGCACGGCUCACGCAAGCAAGCAGGCAGGCAAACAAACAAGCGAGCAGGAAACGUGGUGGUGUGUCAUAUUUUAUUUCUUUUUAAUCUUGUUCUUCACUUUCGCGCGCGCUCUCUAUCUCGCGUUUCCUCUCUAUUCUUGUCAUUCGCACCUUUACUCAUCGCAAUAAUUACGCGUGAAACGAAAUUUUCCAUGAAACUUCUCGACGGAUCAUCGCAGCCAGCUAACGAAAAGACCACGCGUCGACACAAGGAUGGAGACACGAAACAGCACGAGAAACGGCGCACGCUCGAUCUAUAAUAUCGAUCUACAAUAUCGAUCCCGCGUCGAGGAGGCGACCAGUCUACGAACAUCGUCUCGCGACUAAUCGUCGAUGGAAUUUCCAAUGAAUUCCAGCUGCCUCGCGAAGCUCGACUAAAGCUUGCUCUCUCUUUUUUUCUUCUUUUUUUAUUAAAAAAGAACCUGCGAUUUAAUAUAUAUAUAUUUUUUUUUUCUAGGAAUCCUGGGUACUAUCACGCGUCCAGAAUCGACUGUGAUUCUUUUUUCUAUAAAAUUAUAAAAGAUCUGGAUAUACCUUCGUUCUCUUUCGAUACGUGUACCCCCUCGACGAUCAAGAACACCAGCCGGAAGGGCGAACCGCUUCCGGUCUCAACCAUCGCCGAACACAGAGUGCGCCGUUCGAUCGUGGCGGUGUUCUUCGUUAAUAAUUAAUCUAACAACACGCUGCUGCUGCUGCUGCUGCUGCUGCUGUUUCUGGCUACUAAAUACGACUUUAACUGGUUGUUGUUUGCGAGGUUUCCAUUGUUCUCGCACAAUCGUUCUCUUUGGAGGCGAUCGCGCUACAUCUAAUUGUAAAAUUAAAAAAGAAAGAAAAACGAAAACGCGACUGUUUUCAGCACGUUCUCCAACGCGAAUACACACACAGAAAAGAAAAAAUUAUAAUUAUUUAGAACAAAGUAAAAGAGUGGUACAAAAAACAAGGUCGAUACACGCUACGAUUAUUGAAAAUCCAUUAGCAGUAAUAAUAUUAAUAAGUAGUAGUAAUCAUAAGAGAAUUAAUGAUAGUAAUUACAAUAGUAGUAGCGGUAGUGAUAAACAAAGCAUUUGACAAGCUGCAGAAAUACAAAUACGAAGGUACAAAUAAUUAGGGAACAGAAAAAUCCAUUUUCAUCUCGGGACUCGUUCGAAUCAACGCGAUCCGUUCUCUGUGUAUGUUACAAUGAGAGAUUGUGUUACGUGUGUGCAUUGUGUGUAUGUGUGUACACGUUUCUUUUUUUUUUUUUUAUUAUUUCUUUUUGUUCCAUCACGAACAAGCUGCAUACAAGCGCAUUUAUCAAGGACGACUUUUGAUCGAUUUUAAGUAUCAUCAAAUUAUAUUUAUCAAUCGCGUCACGAGAUUUUUUUAUUUUGCGCUCAUUUUUUCUUUCUCUCUUUCACGCAUCCACACUACACACUUAUCUCUCGCUGUCACACUCUUUCGCGCGUUCUUUCAAUCUCUUUCGCAAUCGCGCCUGAUCUUUUCCGUUUUAUUCCAAAUUAUUUCCCUUCUUCGCGUAUUAUCUCGUCGACAAUUAUCCUUACGAAUUUCUCACAUACUCUCUCGCUACUUUCUUCUUUCUCUCUCUCUCUCUCUCUCUCUCUCUCCUGAUCUUUUCUGAACCUGAUUCGUACGCACAAAAACACUGUUCCGCUUUGUCUCGUAUGCUUCGAUAUUUAUAUAUAUGUAUACGUAUAUAUAUAAAAAUACAAAAAAUAAUUUACAAAAUGAUAUUAUAAGUAUAUUACACGCGAGUUUCAUUUUUUGUUUCACACAUUUGUUUUUUUUUCUUCGUUUGCUCUCGUUCGUGUGUCUAUGUGUGUUAUGUGUAUGUGGUGUGUGCGAGUGCUUUCAUCCCUCAUUUCCUUUUCGAAUUUAUUGUUUCCGGUCGAAGAAACGACCUGAACCCUCGAAAAAUUGUUAAGAAACGCUUCCUUCUUAAUUUUCUCUCUCUUCACCCUGGUCUUUUUUGUUUAUCAUCUUUUAACUAAGCAACACACACUGAAAACGUGACACAGUUCUUCGCUCUCCUCUUCACGUUUUCUUUUUUUCACAAUUUUUUCACAAUUUUCUUCACAAAGUGGUUACCAAACCACUGUUAUUAUUAACAAAAAUAUAUAUAUAUGUAUAUGUAUAUUGUGUAUAUAUAUAUAUAUAUAAUAAUAUAGCAGUAUAUAUUAUAUUAAUCUGGAGGCGCGAUGCACGCUGGUAUAAUCAAAUAUCAUACAAAAAAGAAAAACAACAAUAAUAAACUAUAAAAAAGAAAAAUGAAGACAAAAGGAGAAAAAUAAAAUUAUUGAAAAAGGAUCACCUUAAAAAAGACUAAAGAAUAUCUCGAUCGUUAUUCAACGAUCGAGAUAUUCGUGGAUCGAUGGUAAGAAAGAAAAAAAAAUAUAUUCUUAACUUAUGCGCACACGAUUGCAAAAAAAAAAAAUAGGUAAAACGGUUCUCGUACAAAAAUAAAGGAACAAAAUCUAAAGCCAACAGAAAAUACAUCUCGAUUAUAAUAAUAACAUUAACACUAAUAAUAGUAAUAAAAAAGAAAAAAACACAGGAGAAGAAGUAUAAAGGAAACAAUGGUAGCGGGUGAAAAAAGGUACCUAUAUACAGAUAUACAUAUAUAGGCGCACAGUGUCUCGCUGUUUCUUUUGCUCGCACGCAUAUUUUAUCCCUCUCGCCCUAUGCACUCUUUCUUUCACCUCUUGCGCACCCAUACACCAGUCAAACCGCAUUCACGAACAACAUGUAUACACGUAUAGAAAUGUAAAAGACAUGAAAAUCGUCAGCGAAUAGAAUUGAUAAAAAAAAAAAAAAGAAAAGAAAAAUAAUAAUAGAACAACGCCGUGAAAGGGUGCAGAGACAAAUAUUUCUCACCCCUUCAAAAUUCAUGGAACAAACGAAUCGAACCCACGCGGUCUGUCAGCCUCGUUUCCGGAAAUUUCGUUUCUCCGCCUCGAUCCAUCAACUCAAAAAAUUCACCCCCUCACACACACACACCCACGCACACAUUCUUUCUCUCACUUUCAAUAGGUAUCUGAUCGCUCUGCCGCUUCAUUUAUUUUUCAUUUUUUACCUCUUUCUCUUUUUCAUCCCUCUUGCUACGUACGAAACGAUGAAGACUGGGGCCUGGGGUGGGGUUUCGGAGAAGGGGCAUUUCGUAACAGUUACAUUUAGGAUGCACUUACACGAGUAACAUAGUUGCUUGUUUUGCAAUUAUUUUUUUCUUUUUUUUUUUUUUGCUUUUCGUCUGUUUACCAUUUCGACACCGAGAGUGUGACUUGGGUGGGGUACAAAAAG